rnacentral:lncRNA from 1 species
UUUAGGGAUCAAUUUUGUAUACUCUUCACUGAAUAACACUCUUGGCAGUUCAGUUCUCUUCACUGGUGUAUUAAUGUGAAUGUUUUUUUCUAGGAGUGGCACUCAGCUGAGAGUUUUGGUUUCUUUAAGCUCAGGGGCUCAUCUGCAGUUUUAAGCUGUAUGUGACUUUUGAGUCACAGGUGACCAAUGAAAUACUUAAGCACAGUCAAUGUAGCAUACCUUGGAAAUGCCUUGAAAGAAUUUGAAAUCAACUGCCUCUGUCCCUUCCUCUCUCCCAGGGGAACAACCCUUCUGAGUUUGUGUGUAGGGACUGCACUCCCCCUGUGCAGUCAGUGAUUCCCUGGAUUUGGUGGGUUUUGCAUGAGCUUGUGGCAAGCAGGCAGGCAGAUGUAGUCACAGAGUGACCACAGUCCAUGGCACAGACGCUCACUGCUACGCCUUUGAUGCAUUGCAAAUGAGUGAUUUGGGAAUUGCCUCGUGUCUUAGUUUGCUGUUGUUUUCCCCUCUCCCAGCUGGCCACAUGUAAUGUAAAUUGAGUGGGAUGGUGGUGGAUUGUGAAUUGAAAUCCCUUCGCACUGAAAAAUUAGUUUCCCUGAGCACAUGAGGCUUUCAUCUGUAGUUAUGUGGACAAAAAGCUCUCUCCAGAAAGAGCAGCCCCCCGCCCGUCUCCGCAGACCCGCUCAGCGCCGUGGAGCAGCACGCUGGUGUUUGUGUCAGUGUGGCCGCCCGUCGGGGAUUUGCAGGAAUACUGCAGCAAAUCAUCCUGCAUGCAAGGCUGACCUCUGGGAGGCUAACAAAUUGAGGUCUUUGCCCUCACCAUGUCCAAGAGUGUUAAUGAUGUGUUCCCUCUCCAUUGCAUUCCCCACCUGCCAUCC